rnacentral:lncRNA from 1 species
UCCUUUGUCUUCCCACAGGAAAAGACAAUUGGGGACAUCUUCUGGAAAACAGAGAAGUCUCUCUUCGCCUUCCCCUAAAACAGACGGAGAUGAAGUCAGUGUUGAGACAAACGCACAGAUUGAUCCGGAGUUAGCCAGAAUGAAGACUAUGAACGUACAUGAAGCUGCAGCGGUUGCAGCACAGGCAGUUGCAGAGGCAGAAGCUGCCAUGGCAGCAGCUGAAGAAGCUGCAAGGGAUGCAGAGUUAGCAGAAGCGGAAGCAGAAGUAGCUCAAGCUUUUGCAGAAGAAGCUUUAAAGACACUGAAA